CUUAAAUGACAAUCGACUAUAAACCAAGAAGAGUACUGGGCACAGGUAAGGGGUCCAAGGUAGUUGUAUUGGAGGAGGUACAGAAACACAAGUUUGGCUAUAAAAGAGCCUUUAUCUACUAAACAGCUGAAAGAACAAACAUUUAAAAAGCCAUUUUCUUAAUUUUGAUCUUUCUAAGUUGGUAUCCUUGUGUGGGAUUGCUAUAUAAAUAUAUAUAUUUGUGCUCGGAAUUUAAUAU